UACAGGGGGGGCAAGCGUUGUUCGGAAUUACUGGGCUUAAAGGGCGCGUAGGCGGGUGCUCAAGUCCGUGGUGAAAUCCUCCGGCUCAACCGGAGAACUGCCUCGGAUACUGGGCGUCUCGAGUGUGGUAGGGGUAUGCGGAACUAUCGGUGGAGCGGUGAAAUGCGUUGAUAUCGAUAGGAACUCCGGUGGCGAAGGCGGCAUACUGGACCACCACUGACGCUGAUGCGCGAAAGCCAGGGGAGCGAACGGG
rnacentral:rRNA from 1 species